GGUCGAGGGGGCAUAGCAUCAGGUGGGGAGACAAUGGGAAUGGGCAAGACUUCAGAAACAGGAAGAGACUCAGAAGUGGUGGAAAAGAAUGGUGAGUCCUCAAAGAAGGUGACAUCAGCGGAGAUAAAGUAUCGAUGAGUCUCAAGGGAAUAACAACGAUAACCCUUCUGAAGUCUGGAAUAUCCCAAGAAGAGGCACUUCAUGGCUUUGGCGGAAAGCUUGUCCUGUCCAGGAGUGAGAAUAUGAACAAAGCAAGUACAACCAAAGACACGAGGAGGAAGGAAAUAAAGUGGUUGGUCAGGGAAAAGAAGGGAGUGAGGAAUCUGAUCGUGUAAGACAGAGGAGGGCAUACGAUUAAUCAAAUAACAAGCGGUAAGAACAGCGUCCCCCCAAAAACGAAAAGGAACGUGACUAUGGAGGAGGAGAGUACGAGCUGUCUCAACAAGAUGUCGAUUCUUGCGUUCAGCUACCCCAUUUUGUUGAGGAGUAUGAGCACAAGAAGACUGAUGAAGAAUCCCAUGAUGAGACAUAAACGAAGUAAAUUGGGCUGAAAAAUAUUCCCUGGCAUUGUCACUGCGUAACACACGAAUAGAAAUAUUGAACUGGGUUUGGAUUUCAGUAUAAAAUUUCUGGAAAAUAGAGAAUAACUCAGCUCGAUUUUUCAUUAAAAAUAACCAAGUACAUCGAGAAUAGUCAUCAAUGAAAGUGACAAAAUACUGAAAUCCUAAAGUAGAUGCAGUCCGACAAGGACCCCAAACAUCAGUGUGGACAAGCUCAAAAGGAGACUUUGCCCGAUUAUUCAAACGCUUUGGGAACGAGACACGAGUAUGUUUCCCAAGCUGACAUGACUCACACGGAAGCGACGACAAAGUGGAAAAACGAGGAACCAUCUUCUGGAACUUGGAGAGACUAGGGUGGCCCAGACGAUUGUGAAUGAGGAGAGGAGCAUCAGUGGAAAUGCAAACUGCAGGAGAUGAAUCUGAGGUGAGGUGAUAGAGGCCUUGAGACUCACGUCCUAUGCCAAUCGUCUUCCCCGUACUCUGGUCCUGCAAGGUCACAAAUUUAUCAGAAAAGGUAAUAGAACAAUUAAGAGUACGAGUGAUUUUGCUGAUGGAAAUAAGAUUAAAAGGACAUUCAGGAGUAUAAAGGACAGAAGUGAGAGGUAGAGAAGGCAGAGGAAGGGCCAAACCAAUACCUUUAGCCACAGUUUGAGAACCAUUAGCUAAGGUAACAGUAGGUAAAUCAGAGGUAGUAGUAAUAGAGGAGAAAAGAUCCUUAUUACCAGAUAGGUGAUCAGAUGCUCCAGAAUCUAGAAUCCAGGGUCCAAGAGAAGAUGUGUGGGUAAGGCAGGCAGAGGCAUUACCAGGCUGGGCAACAGAGGCAAUAGAAGCCUGAGAUGUCUGAGAUGCGGAGGAGCUCGGAGGCUGAGGCAGCGGAGAAUCAGAGGACUGGGCCAUAUGGGCAGUGCGAGGAGGUCUUCCAUGUAACUGAUAGCAACGAUCGCGAGUGUGGCCAAGUUUAUUGCAAUAGGUGCAAUGAGGACGUUGGCCUCUCCCUCGGGUACCACUGCGUCCUCCUCGAGAGGUAGUUUGAGAAACUAGCACAGAAGAAUUUGAAGCGCUAUCAGAUGGCAAAGUCUGAGUGGACGAGAUACGGAGGAGGCGAGCAAACACAUCAUCCAAGGACGGAACUGAUGAACUACCAAGAAUCUGAUCACGAAUAGGCUCAAGAUCCGGACUGAGGCCAAUAAGAGUAAGGACCAUGAAGAACUUGUCAAGCUGUGUUUGUUGAGCCCCAACAUCAGGAGUAAGAGGCAUCACAGUCAAGAACUGCUCUUUAAGAGAGGCAAUCUGACCAAUAUAAGUAGAUAGAUCCAAGUCCUGUUGGCUGAGAUGGACAAUAGCAGAAGCCACCUUAUAAAGACGCUGGAUAUCAUUCGUGUAUAAUCCUUUGGCCUGAGUCCAAAAUUUAAAACAAGUUUUAUAGGCCUGAAGAUGAAGAAGAAUCCGGGGAUCAACCGAUUGCCAUAAUACACUACAUAACUGUGCAUCUAUCUUCCUCCACUGUACGCGGUCAACCUCAGGGAUAUCUGCCUCCUGGGUAACCAAGUGAUCCUCAUAUCCUUGACCCAUAAACCAAAGUUCAACAGAGGCAGACCAGGAAAGAUAAUUUUCACUACCAACCAAUUUCUCUGAGGUAAUCAUAGGAGAUCCAGAGAUAACAGAGGUAAAGAUCUGAUUUUUGGUGGUCAUAUUCACGUAUUUGGAUCGAAGAGAGCCCUAAUACGGCUUCAGAUUGCGGCGUGGCACCACCGAAAAAGGGAGACGGCCUCAGAUCGCGACGUGGUACCACCAGAAAGGUAGAAGAACACUUCCCAAGGCACGUGCAGGGAUUGGGGUGGAGAGAAAGUAGCCGGAACUUCGCCGGAAAGGCUGUUUGGAGGGCUGACGGAGACAAAAAUCCCCAAAAGAGGUACGUGCAGGGCUCGGAUGGGAGAACCAGGUAGGUAGGGAUGCUGGUCGGCGGCAGACGAGGCUGGAGGAGGAGGCGCGUCGCCGGAAAAGGCCUCACGCGCCCUCACGCGCCGGCGCGUGAGAUGCAGUCGCCGACCGGAAAAUGGCGCGUGGCCGGCGCGUGGAUCCUCUUUUGGUGCCGGUGCCUUCACAAAAGUUGGAGAUCUCCUCCAGGCGCUCCUUCUGGUAUGGUCGGUGUCGGAAAAAUAGGUCGCCGGAAAAGUUCGCCGGAAAGUUCGCCGGAAAAUUUUGCCGGCGGUGAGUGGUUUCUAACGACGUUCCGACUGACCGGAAAGUAUUGGGAGAUGGGGAAGGUGACCGGAAUGAAACACGGUCACCGGAAGGUUGCCCGGAGUUGAUGACACGGGAAACAGGAAAGAAUUAGGUUUUCUUCCCUAGCUCUGAUACCAUGUUGAGAGAGAGAGAAAGAAGAAAAACCUUAAUUCUCAUUCAUGUAAUGUCUACUUACAAUUGAGAGAUAUAUAUAUACAAGGCUAGGAGUCCUAACUACCAUACAUGUGACCUAUAUUAACAAGGAAAGAUAAUAUACUAUAAAUACAUUAUAUUCAACAUAUAGAAAUUUGAAUAUUAUUAUUGGUGUUUUUUUUUUUAGAAUGAGUUCCUCCGAUUUGAAAAAUUCAAGAAAAGAUUUUGUGUGGAAGUAUGUUAUUGAAGUUGCCGGGGAGUAAUAUUUAAGAUGUAAAUUUUGCAAUCAAAGAUGCACGGGAGGGGUGAAUAGACUCAAGCAUCACUUAGCCGGAACUCAUCAUGGUAUGAAACCAUGCAACAAGGUUAGUGAAGAUGCUAGAUUGGAAUGCAAAGAGCCAAUUUUAAGGAUCAAAAAACGAAAAGAAAUGAAUUGCUCCAAGAAAUUGGUACGGGUCCAACUUCAAUGCAUGAGAGUGCCUUGUCUAAAACAAUAGGGACAUUAGGGAGUGGGGAACCUAUGGAUAAAUUUACCACUUCACAACCUAGACAAACUACUUUGAAUUCAAAGUGGAAGCAAGAAGAAAGGAAGGAAGUGUGUAGAAAAAUUGGUAGGUUCAUGUAUUCAAAAGGUCUCCCAUUCAACACUGUGAAUGAUCCUUAUUGGUUUCCUACGAUAGAUGCUGUUGCAAAUUUUGGGCCCGGGUUUAAGCCUCCAUCUAUGCAUGAAUUGAGGACAUGGAUUCUUAAAGAAGAGGUGAAUGACCUAAGUAUCAUUAUGGAAGAUCACAAAAAAACUUGGAAACAAUAUGGAUGUUCAAUUAUGUCAGAUGGUUGGACAGAUGGAAAGAGUAGGUGUCUUAUCAAUUUUUUGGUGAAUAGUCCUACUGGCACUUGGUUUAUGAAAUCAAUUGAUGCUUCUGAUACAAUAAAAAAUGGGGAAUUGAUGUUCAAAUAUCUUGAUGAGGUGGUUGAAGAAAUUGGAGAGGAGAAUGUUGUGCAAGUCAUCACUGAUAAUGCCUCUAAUUAUGUGAAUGCUGGAAUGAGGCUUAUGGAAAAAAAGGAGAAAAUUGUGGUGGACUCCUUGUGCUGCUCAUUGUAUUGAUUUGAUGUUGGAGGAUAUUGGAAAGCUAAAUGUUCAUGCUACUACACUAUCUCGAGCUAGGCAAGUAGUGAAGUUCAUAUAUGGGCAUACUUGGGUUCUUAGCUUGAUGAGAACAUUUACAAAAAAUCAUGAACUUCUUCGUCCCGCAAUUACACGAUUUGCUACUGCAUUUCUUACUCUCCAAAGUCUUUAUAAGCAAAAGCAAACUCUUAUAGCAAUGUUCUCAUCAGAAAAAUGGUGUUCAAGCACAUGGGCUAAAAAGGUAGAAGGUGUGAAAACUCGAAGUACAGUGUUGUUUGAUCCAAAUUUUUGGCCUCAUGUUGCUUUUUGCAUAAAGAUCACUGUUCCAUUAGUUAGUGUCUUGAGAGAGGUUGAUUCAGAGAAAAGACCAGCCAUGGGUUAUAUUUAUGAGUUGAUGGAUUCAGCUAAGGAGAAGAUUGCAUUUAAUUGUUGGGGUGUGGAGAGAAAAUAUGGCCCAAUUUGGAGAAAAAUUGAUGCAAGAUGGACUCCGCAACUUCAUUGACCUUUACAUGCUGCGGGUUAUUAUCUUAAUCCUCAAUUGCGGUAUGGAGAUAAGUUCUCUAAUGUUGAUGAGGUGAGGAAGGGAUUAUUUGAAUGCAAUGAUAGGAUGUUGGAUUAUCAAGAACGUUUAAAAGCUGACAUUCAGUUAGACUCAUAUGACCAAGCAAUGGGUGAAUUUGGGAGUCGUAUUGCAAUUGAUUCUCGAACAUUAAGAAGUCCUACAAGUUGGUGGAUGCGUUUUGGGGGUUCAACACCGGAGUUGCAAAAGUUUGCUAUUCGAGUCCUUAGCCUUACUUGUAGUGCUUCAGGAUGUGAAAGAAAUUGGAGCACAUUUGAGUCGAUCCAUACAAAAAAAAGAAAUAGACUUGAACAUCAAAGGUUGAAUGCUCUAGUGUAUGUAAGAUACAACACUAGAUUGAGAGAGCGAAGUUUACAAAGCAAAACAAAAUGUUGAUCCGAUUUUGGUAGAGGAGAUUGAUUCGGAUGAUGAAUGGAUUUCGGAGAAAGAAGAUCCCCUCCUCUCCCUUGAUCUUUGUUGGCUUCAAGAUAAUGAGUUAUUCAGUGUUGAUGCCAUUAGAGCUGUGUCAUCCGACUCCCAAGAGACUGAAACAUCAUCGGAUCACAUGGUUUCUUCACAUUCCUACAAAAGGAAACAUAAUGAAGUACCAAGUACAAGUGGAGGCAAAGGCAAAGAGAAGGAGUUGAAUUUGACACCAAUUGAUGAAGAUGAAGAUUUACAUGAAAUGGAGAUACAUGAUAGUGGACAUUUUCCUACUAUUGAUACAUUGGAUGAGGAUGAUGAUGACCUUGAGGAUGAGGAUUUAAGUUGAAACAAUUGACUCUAGUUGUUAUUUUAUGACUUAGUUAUGGAUUUUUUGUAAAAGUUUAGAACUAUUAUUAUGGUUGACUCUAUUUUCUAUUUCAUGACUUAGUUAUAGUUUUUUGUUAAAGUUUGAAACUAUUAGUAUAGUUGAAUCUAGAAUCUAUUUUAUGACUUUGUUA